CGUGCAGUGACAACCACAAGCUUGGGGCUGCGUUGGAUGGGGACCGCCUGGAUUACUUCCCAGCCCGGUGAUGAGCCGGGUUAACGCGGGGACUGUGCGCGAUACAACGCCUCUGUGCAUUUUCAAGGCGUUUCCUCCUGUUGCUGAGGGAACCGUGUCCGCACGGCCGCUGCGCGCUGUUCCCCAGCCCCAGUUUGCUCUCCAGGGCUGCCGGAUUUGUGCCCACGUCCUGCGGGUUGCCGCCUGCUAAACCCGCUCACGUGGUGGGCAGUCUUCCAGUGCUGACAGUUCAGUGCCUUGCUGAUGUACGUGGUGUUGUGCAAGCCCAGCAGGUAGUGAGGACAGAAAUGCAGCACCCCGCUACACCCUGAUGCCUUUCCUUACCCUUGAGCCAACUAAUUUGGGGAACUUUUCAACUCAGCGUGACACGCGCCCCUGGUAGAUACUCAUACAUAUCUUGUUUUCCACUUUCAGAGUUCUUGAGUGCCACAGAGACUAUUUGUUUCUCCAGCAGGCGUGCUAGAGGGAAGCAAAUCCUUCUGCUGUGGUAAUGAAAAGGAAAAAUGAGAAUCUUUUCUGUCCUGGGAGAGCCUCUGCCUCCGCCCAGGGAGAGGAGACUGGGAGGGGAAUGUAGCACCUGGGAGGACAAUAGUUGUCUGCAGAUAUGAAGCUGGAGGCUUUGAUAUGGAAAGCAAGAGGGGUGUCGUACUGUUUUCAGUAAUGAAAUCAGGAGCCCAGCUGGGAGCUGAUCCUGUUUGCUUUGCCAAGGCACGCUGCCAGUGCAGAGCAAUUGACAGACACCUCAGCUUGUUAAAGGUUAUAAAUCAGCACUUAACUAGCAGCCUUACAUGUGAGAUCUCUCUCUGGCAGAGGGACGUGCUUCAGCUGAAAGGUGUCAACAGGGCAGUUGUGAUUUUCCUCUGUGUAGGUGUGAAAUUGUGCCUAGGCGAUCCUCUGGCUGUCUCUGAAUCCUGUGCCUCCGAGUGCAUGAAAUCCCCCUCUGCACUGCUUUAAUUUUCCUUUUAGAGGUGGGACUCCUUAGAUUUAAUGAUUAACUGAGCGCUGUUGGGCGAGGUGUUUGCACAGAGGAGUUUGCAGCCCUGUGCAAGGGGCAUGCCCCUCACUGGGAAGAGGCUUCUGCUCUUUUUUCCUCCCUUUUUGCCUCGCUUAGAGCUGUGUUUUUGGGGGGCUAGGUCAGUGGCAG